UACGUAGGUGGCAAGCGUUAUCCGGAAUUAUUGGGCGUAAAGAGCGCGCAGGUGGUUAAUUAAGUCUGAUGUGAAAGCCCACGGCUUAACCGUGGAGGGUCAUUGGAAACUGGUUGACUUGAGUGCAGAAGAGGGAAGUGGAAUUCCAUGUGUAGCGGUGAAAUGCGUAGAGAUAUGGAGGAACACCAGUGGCGAAGGCGGCUUCCUGGUCUGCAACUGACGCUGAGGCGCGAAAGCGUGGGGAGCAAACAGG
rnacentral:rRNA from 1 species